CACGUAGUUAGCCGGGGCUUUCUUCUCAAGUACCGUCACUCCGGUAGUAGUUACCUACCGGCCGUUCUUCCUUGGCAACAGGGCUUUACGAUCCGAAGACCUUCAUCACUCACGCGGCGUUGCUCCGUCAGACUUGCGUCCAUUGCGGAAGAUUCCCUACUGCUGCCUCCCGUAGGAGUCUGGGCCGUGUCUCAGUCCCAGUGUGGCCGAUCACCCUCUCAGGUCGGCUACGCAUCGUCGCCUUGGUGGCCGUUACCCCACCAACUAGCUAAUGCGCCGCAGGCCCAUCUGUAAGUGACAGAUUUCUCCGUCUUUCCCCUUGGCGUCAUGCGACCCAAGGCGUAUCCGGUCUUAGCUACCGUUUCGGUAGUUACUCCCGGUCUUACAGGCAGGUUGCCUUACGUGUUACUCACCCGUCCGCCGCUAAGCCAUCAGAGGUGACAAGCACCUCAUCAACUCCGCUCGACUUGCUAUGUAUUACGGACACCGGCCCGCCACGUCGUUACGUCCUGUACGCUAGGACUACC
rnacentral:rRNA from 1 species